rnacentral:lncRNA from 1 species
ACCUCUUCCAGUCAUUACAGACUGGUUUUGGCAGGUAAAGAUCUUCUGUUAGGCCCCCGGGCUGAUAUAAUCAUCUCUAGGACUCUAAUUGAACCAGAUCUCAUGGUCCUGCUGUGUCUACAGUAGAGUCUGUGUUUGGAGGGCCUGUUUCCAGGGCCUUGGGCAGGUAUGGAUCCUGCCUGGUCCUUGAGUGGACAAGACUUCCAGUAGAGAUGACACUGAGAGAAGUAUCCACUUUGAGGUUUGCAAAUAAUGGGCCCAUUACCAGGUGCAUGAUUGGGUGUGGCUCCCAACAGUUCUCUGGGAGGGCUCCAAACAGGGCAUGUCCUUGGGUGGGUAAGAUUGGCCCUGGACCAUAACUGAAAAGGGCUAGAACUGUCACAGGGCUGCUUCAGCAUUCACUCUUGGAACUGAGUUGCCUACCUUCCUGGGAUAAUAAACAGAGAUGAACUCCUACUACAACUUCUCCUUUGCCGUUUGAGAGUGGAAAUCAGGACUUCAACAGAUCAAGAAGUCAUCUAAUUCAUAUGGUGACAUAACAGCCCAAAAGAAUUCACUGAAGAUCAUUUAGGCACUUUACGAAUUUGUAGUAAAACAGUAAAGGUCUGGGAACAGGUUCCUAUAUUUAAGAAAAUGGGGUUUAAAUAAAAGUAAUAGGUCACAUAAAAUCUUAAAGAAUAUGUUGAAAUAUUUAAGAGAAUAAACUAUAACAAGCACUUUAAAAAACUCAUUUACAUUUAAUUCUAGUGUUAUUUAGGUUAAGUUUUACAUUCCCCAAAUGCUGUUUAGAUAUCCUAUCUCCUCUUACUAUAUCUAGCUGAGUUCAAACGUCAUGUAAGUAUGUGUGUGUGUGUGUGUGUGUAUUGACUCAAACUACAUUUCCCACAAACAAGAGAAGCUCUCUGACCUGUAGCAAAUUGGAUUAUAUGAAAACAUGGAGGAUAAAAUUAAAGUAUAUGAGUACAAGUUAUUUUCCUUGUCAAAUACACUGAGGGGUAGUGUCAUUGUUUUCAAGGAACUACAAAGGGCUUGCCUUUAAAAAAUAGAAAACAAAGAGAAAUAUAAAGUCCUAUUUAUUGUAUUU